GUUUAAUUAUAACCUACCCGUACCGCAAACCGACACAGGUAGUCGAGGCGAGUAGCCUCAGGUGAGCGAGAGAACUCUCGUUAAGGAACUCGGCAAAAUGACCCCGUAACUUCGGGAGAAGGGGUGCUCUACAUUUGUAGAGCCGCAGUGAAUAGGCCCAAGCGACUGUUUAUCAAAAACACAGCUCUCUGCUAAAUCGUAAGAUGAUGUAUAGGGGGUGGCGCCUGCCCGGUGCUGGAAGGUUAAGAGGAGUGCUUAGCGUAAGCGAAGGUAUGAAUUGAAGCCCCAGUAAACGGCGGCCGUAACAAUAACGGUCCUAAGGUAGCGAAAUUCCUUGUCGGGUAAGUUCCGACCCGCACGAAAGGCGUAACGAUUUGGGCACUGUCUCAACGAGAGACUCGGUGAAAUUUUAGUACCUGUGAAGAUGCAGGUUACCCGCGACAGGACGGAAAGACCCCAUGGAGCUUUACUGCAAGUUGAUAUUGAGUAUCUGUUGCACAUGUACAGGAUAGGUAGGAGCCAUUGAUCUGAGGACGCUAGUUUUCAGUGAGGCGAUGUUGGGAUACUACCCUUGUGUCAUGGCUACUCUAACCCGCAUGCCUAAUCGGCAUGGGAGACAGUGUCUGCUGGGCAGUUUGACUGGGGCGGUCGCCUCCUAAAGAGUAACGGAGGCGCUCAAAGUUUCCCUCAGCAUGGUUGGAAAUCAUGCGUAGAGUGUAAAGGUAUAAGGGAGAUUGACUGCGAGACUUACAAGUCGAGCAGGUACGAAAGUAGGACUUAGUGAUCCGGUGGUACCGCAUGGAAGGGCCAUCGCUCAACGGAUAAAAGCUACCCUGGGGAUAACAGGCUUAUCUCCCCCAAGAGUUCACAUCGACGGGGAGGUUUGGCACCUCGAUGUCGGCUCGUCGCAUCCUGGGGCUGUAGUCGGUCCCAAGGGUUGGGCUGUUCGCCCAUUAAAGCGGCACGCGAGCUGGGUUCAGAACGUCGUGAGACAGUUCGGUCCCUAUCCGUCGCGGGCGUAGGAAAUUUGAGAGGAUCUGCCCUUAGUACGAGAGGACCGGGGUGGACUUACCGCUGGUGUACCAGUUGUCUUGCCAAAGGCAUCGCUGGGUAGCUAUGUAGGGAACGGAUAAACGCUGAAAGCAUCUAAGUGUGAAACCAACCUCAAGAUGAGAUUUCCCAUUCUUUAUGAAUUAAGAGCCCUGAGAGAUGAUCAGGUAGAUAGGCUAGAAGUGGAAGGACAGUGAUGUUUGGAGCGGACUAGUACUAAUAGCUCGAGGACUUUACC
rnacentral:rRNA from 1 species